GCCUAGGUGGUGUAAUGGUAGCAUAGGGGAUUGUGGCUCCCCUGACGCGGGUUCGACUCCCGCCCUGGGCCCCA
rnacentral:tRNA from 1 species